GGCGGCGCGGCCCAGGUUGACUGAGGGAAGACGUGAAGGGGUCAGGGGUGAGCCAGGGUUGGGGGCAGGGCUGGGCCACAGGACUCCUGGGUUCCUCUCCCUGGGGCAUGGGUGCAGGUCCCCAUCAAUCCUGGCCCAGUGGGGGGAGCCCAGCACUGGCACAUGGGACUCCUUGGCUCUGCCUCUGGCCUGCUGGCUGAGCACAUGCAAGCCAUUGCUCCUCCUGGUGCCUCAGUUUCCCCAUCGGGACAGCAGGGCUAAUGCUCCCCUAGGGUUCUGGCCGAUUGCUGGGGCUCCAACACGCCAGCAUCACGCGCCCGGGGUCACAAAUGGGAAAUCAGCUGCAAAACUCCCCCUCUGAUUGGCUGUCUUCCCCUCUGCCCUGCCCCUUGGGGAGAACAGCCAAUCAGAGCAGCUGCAAAAUUCUCUUCCCCCCCUCGAUCACAGGGUGAGGUCCUCACCAGGUGGGGGGCGCCAGGCACCCCCCCGAUCACAGGGCAAGGUCCCCGUGGGGUGGGGGUGGGGGCAGUAACCCCCCUGAUCACAAGGCGAGGUCCCCGCAGGGUGGGGGUGGGGGCAGUUACCCCCCCGAUCACAAGGCGAGGUCCCUGCGAAGGGGGGGGCAGGCACCCCCCCUGGAUCACAGGACAAGGUCCCCCUGGGGUGGGGGUGUGGGCAGGCACCCCCCCGAUCACAAGGCAAGGUCCCCGCGAGGGGCAGGGUGGCACUCCCCCAAUCACAGGGCAAGGUCUCUGCAGGGCGAGGUCCCCGUGGGUUGGGGGGUGCCUGGCGCCGAUCACAAGGAGAGGUCAGCGCAAGGUGGGGGCGCCAGGCAAUCCCCCCGCUCACUGGGUGAGGUCCCCAUGGGGUGGGGGGCACGAAGCACCCCCUCGAUCACAGGGCGAGGUCCCUGCAAGGUAGGGGGGGCGCCAGGCACCCCCCCCCCCGCUCACAGGGAGAGGUCCCCGUGGGGUGGGGGGGCCAGGCACCUCCUCCGAUCACAGGCCGAGGUCCCCACGAGGUGGAGGGCACCAGGCGCUGCUCACAGGGCGAGGUGGAGGCGCCGGGCACCCCCCCGCUCACAGGGCGAGGUCCCCGCGAGGUGGAGGGCACCAGGCGCUGCUCACAGGGCGAGGUGGGGGCGCCGGGCACCCCCCCGCUCACAGGCCGAGGUCCCCACGAGGUGGAGGGCACCAGGCACUGCUCACAGGGCGAGGUGGGGGGGCCAGGCACCCCCUCCGAUCACAGGGCGAGGUCCCCGCGAGGUGGAGGGCACCAGGCGCUGCUCACAGGGCGAGGUGGGGGCGCCGGGUACUCACCGAUCUGGCCCCCGAUGACGGGCGGGCGGGCGAUGAGCAGC